UGGGGAAUAUUGGGCAAUGGGGGAAACCCUGACCCAGCAACGCCGCGUGAAGGAAGAAGGCCUUCGGGUUGUAAACUUCUUUUGUCAGGGAAGAUAAUGACGGUACCUGACGAAUAAGCUACGGCUAACUACGUGCCAGCAGCCGCGGUAAUACGUAGGUGGCGAGCGUUGUCCGGAUUUACUGGGUGUAAAGGGCGUGUAGGCGGGACUGCAAGUCAGAUGUGAAAUGCCGAGGCUUAACCUCGGAGCUGCAUUUGAAACUGUAGUUCUUGAGUAUCGGAGAGGCAGGCGGAAUUCCUAGUGUAGCGGUGAAAUGCGUAGAUAUUAGGAGGAACACCAGUGGCGAAGGCGGCCUGCUGGACGACAACUGACGCUGAGGCGCGAAAGCGUGGGGAGCAAACAGG
rnacentral:rRNA from 2 species